UCCCUGGUAGUAUAUCGGUUUAGUACACGCGCCUGUCAUUGCAAACUGCCACUAAUGUGAUCCGCGCGAAAGCUGGGUUCGACUCCCAGCCAGGGAG